rnacentral:misc_RNA from 1 species
CAAAUUUGAUACACCAAUCAACAUAUCGAAGACGACGCCUAAUCCUAUAAUUCACCAAAUUUUGAUUCUGGGCCCUUGAAAUCGGAAACCCUAGCCCUAAAUUUCCAAUUUCAUGGCGUCGAGGAAGAAACAGUCAGAAGGAAUCGCUUUACUCUCAAUGUACAACGAUGAAGACGAUGAAGAUAUGGAAGAUCUUGAUGAACAGCAACACGAAGAACAUCAGCAAAAACAAGAAGACGAGCAGCUGGAAGAUCAGAACGACUAUAGAGAAUCAAACGAGGCGGGACCUGAUUCACUGAAUAAUGCAAUGGUUACUGAUGAAUUGCUUAAUGAUGCUUCGCCGCCUCCUCUCAAUCAGAAUUCGACACCUAAGGACGGUUUGUUGCGGCCUUUGACGCCGCAGCAGCCUCAAGUUUCGUUCUUAUCGUCGCUGCAGCAGCAGCAGCAACGGGUGGUUAAUUUGGAGGUGAAGAGAAGCGGAAGAGGGAGGCUUACCAUUGUGGACUAUGCUCACGAUGAAGUUGCUAUGUCUCCUGAACCCGAUGAAGGGGAAUUUGG